rnacentral:rRNA from 1 species
AUACGGAAGGUCCGGGCGUUAUCCGGAUUUAUUGGGUUUAAAGGGAGCGCAGGCGGAGAUGCAAGCGUGACGUCAAAUUUCGGGGCUCAACCCCGUCUCGCGUCGCGAACUGCGUCCCUUGGUUGCGGGAAGGGGAGGCGGAACUCGUGGUGUAGCGGUGAAAUGCAUAGAUAUCACGAAGAACUCCGAUCGCGAAGGCAGCCUUCCGGCCCGUCAACGACGCUCAUGCUCGAAGGUGCGGGUAUCAAAUAGGAUUAGAUACCCUGGUAGUCCGCACAGUAAACGAUGGACACCCGCGGUUUGGCCUGUAUGGCUGAGCCGCCAAGCGAAAGCGUUAAGUGUCCCACCUGGGGAGUACGCCGGCAACGGUGAAACUCAAAUGAAUUGACGGGG